GACGAACGCUGGCGGCGUGCUUAACACAUGCAAGUCGAACGGAAAGGCCCUGCUUUUGUGGGGUGCUCGAGUGGCGAAUGGGUGAGUAACACGUGAGUAACCUGCCCUUGACUUUGGGAUAACUUCAGGAAACUGGGGCUAAUACCGGAUAGGAGCUCCUGCUGCAUGGUGGGGGUUGGAAAGUUUCGGCGGUUGGGGAUGGACUCGCGGCUUAUCAGCUUGUUGGUGGGGUAGUUGCUUACCAAGGCUUUGACGGGUAGCCGGCCUGAGAGGGUGACCGGCGACAUUGGGACUGAGAUACGGCCCAGACUCCUACGGGAGGCAGCAGGGGGGAAUAUUGCACAAUGGGGGGAAGCCUGAUGCAGCAACGCCGCGUGCGGGAUGACGGCCUUCGGGUUGUAAACCGCUUUCGCCUGUGACGAAGCGUGAGUGACGGUAAUGGGUAAAGAAGCACCGGCUAACUACGUG
rnacentral:rRNA from 1 species